CUCAAUGAUAUCAUUUCUUCCACAGAUGUUGGGCGGCUCAUCUCUGGCUCUUCCUGCACCAACACACCUGCACCUCAUCACCUGUAAUCACCAGCUGCACGUAAGCUCUGCUUGGAAGACUCUCUAUGCCAGAUUAUUCCCACAUCUCUCAUGGUAUUUCAACCUGCUUCAGAGUGUUACAAAUUUAAAACUUUUACCACUGCUUGUGCAUUCUCCUCAUGAGAAUAAUCCCUGCUCUCCUCUUCUCUCCUCCAGUGUCUCUUAAGCCCAGGCCCCAACCUUUGCCACAGCUGCCACAACUCUCACACUGGAUAACUUACCUGCCUUCACUGACACUCACGCACCACGGCUCCUCACUGCACCAUACAGAUACCUUGGAUCCUCUCCCCCUCACCUCCAUUUUUAAUAAAUUAUUCAACACUUCCCUCUGCUUCGAAUCUGCUUUUGGGUUCAGUGCAAAACAUACAGGACAACCUGACAGUUUAAUUCUUCCGUGAUUAGUAGAUGGCUUGAGACAUGAGACGUGAGACUCCAGACGAAUGAAAUUCCCUUUGGGAUCAAUAGAGUUCUUGUAUUGUAUUGUAUUGUCUUGAAUUGUAACGCAAGUCAACGUGUCUGAAGGCUGGUUGUUGGCUGUAGGUACACAAACUUCAUGAAAACCAGGUCAAGUAGACUUCCUCUCUCCCCCAUUACAUUCACCAGUCUAACUAGUGUUCUGAGUUCUAUAACAUUUCGUGUCUUUUUAGAAUCUAUGUACAGUGUCCUGGGGCCUUAUGUAUCAACGCUGGCGGCGCCAGAAAACCUUGCGUACGCCAAAAUCGGCGCACACGUCCAGAUUUAUCAUCGCGAAACGAGCAUCGGUUCCAGCGUUAAUCAACGCAAAGUGAGGAGGUGGUGUAGAAGUUGGCGUUGAGCUGAUACUUGCGUUGACGGCACUUUGGCGACGCUGUGUGGCGGUGUUUAGUGACUCACUGUAAGGUUUUGAUGGUCAUAAAACCUCUAAACGGAAUGGAACCAAGCGGUAGUGAAGAUCUCCAGCAUGAGGAAAAAAGGAUGGUGUCAGACAGCAGGUUUCAGAGCUCUGAUAUUUUUAAUAAAUCCAAGUGAUCACACACAGCAGUCUUAAUGAUCAUCCUUUGAGUAGCAGGC